rnacentral:rRNA from 1 species
GGUCAAGCUACUAAGGGCGUACGGUGGAUGCCUUGGCACGAAUAGGCGAUGAAGGACGUUGUAAGCUGCGAUAAGCUUCGGGGAGCCGCAAACAGGCGUUGAUCCGGAGAUGUCCGAAUGGGGCAACCCGGCCGGUUAAUAACCGGUCAUCUUGCGCUGAAUCCAUAGGCGUAAGAAGCGAACGGAGGGAAGUGAAACAUCUCAGUACCUCCAGGAAAAGAAAUCAAUUGAGAUUCCCCCAGUAGUGGCGAGCGAAAAGGGAAGAGCCUAAACCGGAGAGUAGAAAUAUUUUCCGGGGUUGCGGGACCUUAUACGUGAUUGCGAAAGGAUAGUGGAACGGAUUGGAAAGUCCGGCCAUAGAGGGUGAUAGCCCCGUACAUGAAAUUCUGACGCACGCAGAGGUAUCCCAAGUACCACGGGACACGUGAAAUCCCGUGGGAAUCCGGGUGGACCAUUAUCCAAGGCUAAAUACUCAUUCGUGACCGAUAGUGAACCAGUACCGUGAGGGAAAGGCGAAAAGAACCCCGGGAGGGGAGUGAAAUAGAACCUGAAACCGUAUGCUUACAAACAGUCCGAGGACUAUGCCCGCAAGGGAAUGUCUGAGGGCGUGCCUUUUGCUUAAUGAUUCAGCGAGUUACUUUGUGUGGCAAGGUUAAGUCAUGGAGACGGAGCCGCAGCGAAAGCGAGUCCGAAUAGGGCGUUUAGUCGCGCUGAGUAGACCCGAAGCCAGUCGAUCUACCCAUGGUCAGGAUGAAGGAUCGGUAACACGAUCUGGAGGUCCGAACUGGUGAUUGUUGCAAAAAUCUCGGAUGAACUGUGGGUAGGAGUGAAAGGCUAAUCAAGGCUGGUUAUUGCUGGUUCUCCCCGAAAUAUAUUUAGGUAUAGCCUCGUGUAAUUAAGUGCCGGGGGUAGAGCACUGGAUGGGCUAGGGCCCUUAAAGGGGUACCAAACCCAACCAAACUCCGAAUACCGGCAACUUUUAUCACGGGAGUCAGACUGUGGGGGAUAAGCUUCAUAGUCGAGAGGGAAAAAGCCCAGACCGCCGGCUAAGGUCCCUAAAGCAAGCUAAGUGGAAAAGGUUGUGAAACUACUUUGACACCCAGGAGGUUGGCUUAGAAGCAGCCAUCCUUUAAAGAAAGCGUAACAGCUCACUGGUCUAGUGGUUUUGCGCCGAAAAUUCAACGGGGCUCAAGCUUGCUACCGAAGCCGCGGAUUCGCAGUGUCUUCGGACGCUGCGUCUGGUAGGGGAGCUUUCCAUUAACCUGUGAAGGCGGAUCGUGAGGACUGCUGGAGGACAUGGAAGUGCUUAUGCUGAAAUAAGUAGCGUAAAUGUGGGUGUAAAACCCGCACGCCGGAAGCCUAAGGUUUCCUGGGGAAGGUUAAUCCUCCCAGGGUUAGUCGGGACCUAAGCCGAGGCCGAGAGGCGUAGGUGAUGGACAACGGGUUAAUAUUCCCGUACCGCCGUGCAUUGUAAGCUAAGGGGUGACGGAGUAGGAUAGGUCAGCAGGGUGACGGAUGUCCCUGUUUAAGUCCGUAGGCGGGGUCUGCAGGAAAAUCCGCAGGCCCGUUACCGCCAAGAGAUGAUGACGAGGAAAGCCGCAAGGCGGACCGAAGUGGCUGAUUCCACACUUCCAAGAAAAACCUCGUAGUGUUUUUGCAUGGUGCCCGUACUGCAAACCGACUCUGGUGGGCUGGUAGAAUAUACCAAGGCGUUUGAGAGAACUCUGGCUAAGGAACUCGGCAAUCUAGCCCCGUAACUUCGGGAUAAGGGGUGCCCUGGGCUGUUUUGCGGAUUCGCUCCGCAUGGCGGCUUGGGGUCGCAGUGAAAGGGGGGUUGCGACUGUUUAGCAAAAACACAGGACUCUGCUAACUCGUAAGAGGAUGUAUAGGGUCUGACGCCUGCCCGGUGCCGGAAGGUUAAGGAGAUCUGUCAGCCGCAAGGCGAAGCAGUGAACCGAAGCCCCGGUAAACGGCGGCCGUAACUAUAACGGUCCUAAGGUAGCGAAAUUCCUUGUCGGGUAAGUUCCGACCUGCACGAAUGGCGUAACGAUCAUCCCCGCUGUCUCGGCCAGAGACUCAGCGAAUUUGAAAUGCCGGUGAAGAUGCCGGCUACCCGCAUCAAGACGGAAAGACCCCGUGCACCUUAACUAUACCUUGGUAUUGGAUCUUGGCGUUGUUUGUGUAGGAUAGGUGGGAGGCUUUGAAUCGGAGGCGCUAGCUUUCGUGGAGCCAUCCUUGAAAUACCACCCUGAUUACUCCGAGAUUCUAACCUGGGCCCGUGAUCCGGGCCGGGAACAGUGCCAGGCGGGUAGUUUGACUGGGGCGGUCGCCUCCCAAACAGUAACGGAGGCGCGCAAAGGUUCCCUCAGGCCGAUUGGAAACCGGCCGGCGAGUGCAAAGGCAUAAGGGAGCUUAACUGCAAGACCUACAAGUCGAGCAGAUGCGAAAGCAGGUCUUAGUGAUCCGGUGGUCCUGAAUGGAAGGGCCAUCGCUCAACGGAUAAAAGGUACGCCGGGGAUAACAGGCUGAUCUCGCCCAAGAGUUCAUAUCGACGGCGAGGUUUGGCACCUCGAUGUCGGCUCAUCGCAUCCUGGGGCUGGAGCAGGUCCCAAGGGUUCGGCUGUUCGCCGAUUAAUAGCGGUACGUGAGCUGGGUUCAGAACGUCGUGAGACAGUUCGGUCCCUAUCUGAUGUGGGCGUAGGAGAUUUGAGGGAAGCUAUCCCUAGUACGAGAGGACCGGGAUGGCGGGACCUCCAGUGUUCCAGUUGUCCUGCCAAGGGCAGCGCUGGUUAGCUGUGUCCCGAAGGGAUAACCGCUGAAAGCAUCUAAUCGGGAAGCCCCUCCCAAGAUAAGAUCUCCCUGGACUUCGGUCCCUGUAGAUCACAUGGAGACUACGUGUUUGAUAGGCCGGGUGUGUAAGCCCUGUAAGGGGUUUAGCUAACCGGUACUAAUCGAUCGUGAGGCUUGACCUU